GACACGCCCACCCCGCGGGGAGGGGCCACGGCAGGACACGCCCCCAGAGAGGGGCGGGGCCAGCGGGCCAGGCCCCAAGGGGGUGGGGACAAAGAGAAGGGGCGGGGCCUGAGGGAGGCGAGGCCCGAGAAGAGAGACAAAGCCCCGGAGGAGCCCCCAGCGAAGCUCCUGGACGAUCUUUUCCGGAAAACCAAGGCGGCCCCGUGCAUUUAUUGGCUGCCCCUCACCGACACCCAGUUCGUCCAGAAGCAGGCGGAGCGGGCGGCUCGGGCGCGGGAGCGGGAGCGGCGCCGGAAGGAGCAGGAGGAGGAGGAGCUUCGGCAGCGCCAAUCGGGCCCCGCCCCUCCGCAAACCCCGCCCCUCCCGCCGCAAACCCCGCCCCUUCCUCCCGCGACGGCUCCGCCCCCUCCUUGCGCAAAGGGGGCGGGGCUUCGACGUCAUCAUCGAGGGCGCCCCCUGGCGGGCACCGGAAACGCCGCAGCCGCUCCCGCAGCCCCCUCAGGGACAGGGGGCGG